UGGGGAAUUUUGGACAAUGGGCGAAAGCCUGAUCCAGCAAUGCCGCGUGUGUGAAGAAGGCCUUCGGGUUGUAAAGCACUUUUGUCCGGAAAGAAAUCCUUGGCUCUAAUACAGUCGGGGGAUGACGGUACCGGAAGAAUAAGCACCGGCUAACUACGUGCCAGCAGCCGCGGUAAUACGUAGGGUGCAAGCGUUAAUCGGAAUUACUGGGCGUAAAGCGUGCGCAGGCGGUUUGCUAAGACCGAUGUGAAAUCCCCGGGCUCAACCUGGGAACUGCAUUGGUGACUGGCAGGCUAGAGUAUGGCAGAGGGGGGUAGAAUUCCACGUGUAGCAGUGAAAUGCGUAGAGAUGUGGAGGAAUACCGAUGGCGAAGGCAGCCCCCUGGGCCAAUACUGACGCUCAUGCACGAAAGCGUGGGGAGCAAACAGGAUUAGAUACCCUGGUAGUCCAGCGCCCUAAACGAUGUCAACUAGUUGUUGGGGAUUCAUUUCCUUAGUAACGUAGCUAACGCGUGAAGUUGACCGCCUGGGGAGUACGGUCGCAAGAUUAAAACUUAAAUGAAUUGACGGGGUCAUAGCUG
rnacentral:rRNA from 1 species